rnacentral:rRNA from 1 species
UACAUGUGGGGCAAGCGUUGUUCGGAAUUACUGGGCGUAAAGGGCGCGUAGGCGGCCACCGCAAGUCGACUGUGAAAUCUCCGGGCUUAACCCGGAAAGGUCAGCCGAUACUGCGGGGCUAGAGUGCAGAAGGGGCAACUGGAAUUCUCGGUGUAGCGGUGAAAUGCGUAGAUAUCGAGAGGAACACCUGCGGCGAAGGCGGGUUGCUGGGCUGACACUGACGCUGAGGCGCGAAAGCUAGGGGAGCGAACGGG